rnacentral:lncRNA from 1 species
CAGGAUCUAUGGGGCCAUAUGGGGAUAUAAUGGGAUAUAAAUGGAUAUAAGGGAUAUAACGGGAUCUAUGGGGCCGUAUGGGGCCAUAUGGGGUUACAAGGGGAUAUAAGGGGAUCUAUGGGGCCGUACGGGGAUACAAGGGAUAUAAGGGGAUCUAUGGGGCCGCAUGGGGCUAUAGAGGGGUACAAGGGACACGAGGGACAUUAUGGGAUGCAUGGGGCACUGACGGAGUUGCAGGCGUUGGCGCGCUCCACUUUGGAGAGGCUCCGCACGUCGGUGUUGAAGACGUUCAUCUUCUCCACCAAACACGUCAGCGCCGUCUCCGUCGCCUCCCCCACCUUCUCGUAAAUCCCUUUGGCCUGCGGGGGCACUUAUGGGGUCAGUGGGGCACCAUGGGGUCAAUGGGACCCAAUGGGGUCAAUGGGGUGGUGGUGGGACUCAAUGGGGUCAAUGGGACCCAAUGGGGUCAAUGGUGGGAGCCAAUGGGGUCAGUGGGACUCAAUGGGGGUCAAUGGGACCCAAUGGGGUCAAUGGGGUGGUGGUGGGAUUCAAUGGGGUCAAAGGGGCACUUAUGGGGUCAGCGGGGGCACCAUGGGGUCACUGGGGCAUCAUGGGGUCAAUGGGGUCGUGGUGCGUCCCAAUGGGGUCAAUAGGACCCAAUGGGGUCAGUGGGGUCGUGGUGUGUCCCAAUGGGGUCAAUAGGACCCAAUGGGGUCAAUGGGGUCGUGGUGGGUCCCAGNNNNNGGGGUGGUGGUGGGAUUCAAUGGGGUCAAUGGGGCACUUAUGGGGUCAGCGGGGCACCAUGGGGUCAGUGGGGCAUCAUGGGGUCAAUGGGGUCGUGGUGCGUCCCAAUGGGGUCAAUAGGACCCAAUGGGGUCAAUGGGGUCAUGGUGCAUCCCAAUGGGGUCAAUGGGGUUGUGGUGGGUCCCAAUGGGUUCAAUGGAAGACAAUGGGGUCAAUGGGGUCGUGGAGGGACUCAGUGGGGUCAGUGGGGCACUAUGGGGUCAAUGGGACCCAUUGGGGUCAAUGGGAUCGUGGUGGGACCCAAUGGGGUCAAUGGAGUCGUGGUGUGUCCCAAUGGGGUCAAUAGGACCCAAUGGGGUCAAUGGGGUCGUGGUGUGUCCCAAUGGGGUCAAUAGGACCCAAAGGGGUCAAUGGGGUCAUGGUGUGUCCCAAUGGUGUCAAUAGGAUCCAAUGGGGUCAGUGGGUUCAUGGUGUGUCCCAAUGGGGUCAAUCGGAUCCAAUGGGGUCAAUAGGGUCAUGGUGUGUCCCAAUGGGGUCAAUAGGACCCAAUCGGGUCAAUGGGGUCGUGGUGUGUCCCAAUGGGGUCAAUGGGGUUGUGGUGGGUCCCAGUGGGGUCAAUAGGACCCAAUGGGAUCAGCGGGGUGGUGGUGGGACUCAAUGGGGCCAAUGGAACCCAAUGGGGUCAGUGGGGUCGUGGUGCAUCCCAAUGGGGUCAGUGGGGUCGUGGUGUGUCCCAAUGGGGUCAAUAGGAUCCAAUGGGGUCAAUAGGGU